rnacentral:rRNA from 1 species
CCUACGGGGGGCUGCAGUGAGGAAUAUUGGUCAAUGGACGAGAGUCUGAACCAGCCAAGUAGCGUGAAGGAUGACUGCCCUAUGGGUUGUAAACUUCUUUUAUAAAGGAAUAAAACGAGGCACGUGUGCCUUUUUGCAUGUACUUUAUGAAUAAGGAUCGGCUAACUCCGUGCCAGCAGCCGCGGUAAUACGGAGGAUCCGAGCGUUAUCCGGAUUUAUUGGGUUUAAAGGGACCGUAGAUGGGUUGUUAAGUCAGUUGUGAAAGUUUGCGGCUCAACCGUAAAAUUGCAAUUGAUACUGGCAGUCGUGAGUACAGUUGAGGUAGGCGGAAUUCGUGGUGGAGCGGUGAAAUGCUUAGAUAUCACGAAGAACCCCGAUUGCGAAGGCAGCUUACUAAACUGUGACUGACAUUGAUGCUCGAAAGUGUGGGUAUCAAACAGGAUUAGAUACCCUGGUAGUC